rnacentral:lncRNA from 10 species
GUAUAAAUGCUCGAGUAAGAAUGAGUCUUUUCCACUGAUCUAGUUAUUUUAAGUGGUGAAGAUCUCCUCUCCCAAAGAAUAGAAAUAUUGAACAGGUGCCCAGAACAUACUGCAAGACAUCUAACUGACUUAUUGAAUUAAAACACAUAAUCCAUCACAUGUGGAGUUUGUGUUUUCUACACAAUUGUGUAUUUUACACACAUUUCUGUCAUGCUGAAUGUUUGUCAAUAGUUCUUAUAAUGACAAUGUUUUAGCCUCAGGGACUCAGAGGAAGGUACUUUCCUUGAGACAAAGCAAAAAUAUGUCCUCUCUUUCCCUCAUCAAGGCUCUGGCUCUUGACCUGUUAAGAAGCAUCAGCUGAAGAUGCCCUUGGUAUUGCCAGACUUCCCUUCGGAAUCUUCCUUUACUGCAGCCAAUGCCACACUUCAUACCUGAGUAUAAAGGCUGAAAGAAAGGAGAGCGGAGAAAGAUAGGCAAAUUGCCUUCACUUGCCUUCAUAAAUCUGCGGAGAGGUGUAAGCCUCUCUCUGUGGGCUGAUGGCAGCUCAUUUUCCCUUUGUGAUGGGGAAGACAUUGGCUAAAUAUCCUGAUAUCCUGAAAUUAGCUUUCAAUUGAAUUAAUAGUUGAAACCAAAACUGCGUAUGGGACUGGUGGUCAUUGGGAGACUUUUUUUUAACUCCUGUAGUUUAUGUCAUCUCUAUGGCAGUUACCAUUUCCUACCAUGUACAGUCUUAAUCCCCCUAGUAAAUCUAGGGACUGUCAUAAAU